rnacentral:rRNA from 1 species
CCUACGGGCGGCAGCAGUGAGGAAUAUUGGUCAAUGGGCGCGAGCCUGAACCAGCAAAGUAGCGUGAAGGAUGACUGCCCUACGGGUUGUAAACUUCUUUUAUAAAGGAAUAAAGUGAGGCACGUGUGCCUUUUUGUAUGUACUUUAUGAAUAAGGAUCGGCAAACUCCGUGCCAGCAGCCGAGGUAAUACGGAGGAUCCGAGCGUUAUCCGGAUUUAUUGGGUUUAAAGGGAGCGUAGAUGGGUUGUUAAGUCAGUUGUGAAAGUUUUCGGCUCAACCGUAAAAUUGCAAUGAAUACUGGUAGUCUUGAGUACAGUUGAGGUAGGUGGAAUUCGUGGUGUAGCGGUGAAAUGCUUAGAUAUCACGAAGAACUCCGAUUGCGAAGGCAGCUUACUAAACUGCCACUGACAUUGAUGCUCGAAAGUGUGGGUAUCAAACAGGAUUAGAUACCCUUGUAGUC